rnacentral:rRNA from 1 species
AAUGAAUUGGGUUGAUUAGGUUUUUGUUUAUUUUGUUUAAAAGAAAAAUUUUUAUGUUUAAUUAAUUUUGUUUGAAAUAAUUUAUUUUUUUAUAGUGAAAAGUAUUGUGAUAGAAUUUUUUUAUAUUUUUGAAAGAAGGCUUUUUUUGUUGUACCUUGUGUAUCAGGGUUGAUUAAUUUAAAGUUAAUGUUAUUUAGUUUUCCCGAAUUUAGAAGGGCUAUGAAGGAAUAAAUUUUAAUGUUGAACAAUUAUUUAUAAUUCUUUUAUAGUAAUGAAAUAUUAUUCGUUUUUAAAUAUAUCUGGUUUCCAAGGAAAUAAAUUGAAUUUAGGAUGUUUUUAUGGAUUUUAUUAUUUUUUAUUGAUUCUUUGAAAUUUUUUAAUAAUUAAGGGGAUAAGCUUUUAAUUAAAUAUUUAUAAUUUUUUAUUAUUUAAUUUUUUAUAGGAUUAGAAUUUUCCAUUAAUUGAAGGAUGUUAUAAUUAAUUUUUGAUUUUUUAUAUUUAAUUGUUUUUAAGUUUUUACUUGGAUAGAAAUUUUAAUUUUGAAUGUUUUGUAAUAAUGAUUAAAUUAGUAUAUAAUUAUGUAAUUUUAAAUUUGUUUUGUUAGUUGAUUAUAAGGAAUUCGGCAAAUGGAAUUUUCACCUGUUUAAUAAAAACAUGUCCUUUUGAUUUUGAUUGAAGGUCUGGCCUGCCCAAUGAAGUUUAAAUGGCCGCAGUAUUUUGACUGUGCAAAGGUAGCAUAAUCAUUAGUUUCUUAAUUAGGAGCUGGAAUGAAAGGUUUGAUGAGAAAUUAACUGUCUCAUAGUUAUUAAAGUUGAAUUUUAUUUUUGAGUUAAAAAGCUUAAAUUUUGUAUAGGGACGAGAAGACCCUAUAGAGUUUUAUUAUUUUCUUUUUUAAGUAGAGAGGGUUAGGUAUUAGUUAAAAUUUGAAUUAAUUUUGUUGGGGUGAUGAAGAAAUUUGUUAAACUUUUUUUUAUUUUUACACUUAUAAGUGAUUUUUUGAUCCUUUAUUUUAAGAUUAAAAGAUUAAAUUACCUUAGGGAUAACAGCGUAAUUUCUUUUGAAAGUUCAUAUUUAUAAAGGAGUUUGCGACCUCGAUGUUGGAUUAAAGUUAAUUUUUGGUGUAGAGGCUAAAAUAUUGGGUCUGUUCGACCUUUAAAACUUUACAUGAUCUGAGUUUAGACCGGCGUGAGCCAGGUUGGUUUCUAUCUUGUAUAAUUUGGAGUAAUUUAGUACGAAAGGACCAAUUAUUUGAAUAACAUUUUCUAUUUUGAAUAUUAU